CGUUGGCUUUCUUGCUGCCUAGGGUGACACGGUGAGAGUUAAUGGCAAAUUAAUAGAAAACAAGACCGAUGUGGGGUCUAUUUAAAGCAUAAUGGUAAACAAAAUUAAAUUUUAUAUCUGUUAGUAUAGGUUUUUAAACAAAAUAAACGCGGGAACUUUACGAAACGUGGUAUUGAAAACUGCCGACCAUAAUUAUCACCCGCAGUUGCGCACAGUGUUCUGUUCUGCUAUCGCUAGCAAACGCCAGCUUUUGUAUCUGAUUGGUUUAACGGCGUUUCUUUUACUGAUUGAGAACACUUUUAAGUUUCAAGCUAUUCAGCAUGGGUUUGGAUUCAACUCAAGGCGCUCAGGGCUAUAAACACUUUCAAAUUGAAUGAAUUUUCUUGUUGGAUUUGUAUUUGAUAGGCCACGGAACAGGAAACAGAUUUUGAAAUGUACUUUUAUUGUUAGUUUAUCUGUGCUGGGUCGGUGGGGUGGAUUUGUGUCAAGUUUCUUUUCUGUGGUUAGUUAGAUGCAAAUCAAAAUAGUUUUAUAUUGAUUUGCCAUCGGAAUUAUUAGGUAGGUACCAAUCCUACGAAGUAUGUAGUCUACCCGAAGUCAAGGCUAUAUAAACCCCUCACUCAGAUUCAUUUUGGUCCUCUGCUCUCUUGUUUCCAUGAUCCUGAUCCUCUCCUUCUCUUCUGCGUCUCAAUCCUGCUUCAGGUCGAGACUCUGCUUUGGUUGGCCAUUUCGAGAGGUGCUUUUGGAGCUUGCAGCAAUGUGCGUUGCGAGUAACUCACCAGAAAAGAUGACGCUCUGAGAAUUAAUAAACAAAAGCCCACAAAGUCCUGUAAUUGACAAGUUCAAGUUACAUGGAUAAGUUUGAGUUAUUAUAUCAUUAAAAAAGUCUUGCAAUGUGUGUAGCGAUAAUGAAAUACAUGCCCUCCGCGGGCUUUGUCCACCUCUCCCAAGCAUCCACCCUGCUAAGGGUUGGACAGACAACUAUCCCAUGGGGGAAGCCUGGAGGUUCCCCCAUGGUCCAAUCUUAUAAAAUGUCUUACUAUUCUAUUCAUGGCAUUUGGUAACAUUUAUGGUGAUGUCAGUGCUGACAAAGGGUUAUCCGAGUCAACAAAAUGAUUAUUUGGAUCGUCAACAUACAAUGGACUGAAAUGCGUGAAAACAAUUUUGCAUUUGAUAGCCGUUUUCUUCAGCUGAAUUUCAGUCAGUGCUGCCAUAUCCAUUCCAUGGUGUUUAUAAGAUUGAGCCCAGGAGUAUGCUCAUAGCUGGGUGUGGUGAGUGUCGUGGGGCUGAGUGGCCUCUCCACUGGAGUCUGGAUGACUCAGUCUGGACAACUCACCUCAACCUGAGUGUCUGCCCAGACCAAUGUUUCCUCAUAAUGUCUCCAGGUCUCCACUGCUCUCCUCGCCUGUUUCAGCUGUCUACCCCUGCACGCCUGGUUCCUGACUCCCUCUCUCAUUCGCUUUGCCCAGGUUUUGCCAAUGUUCUGAGUGUACAGUUGCUGCUUUUUGGUGCGCACACACCCCAGGCUCUCCAUCCAAUUAACGCCUGAACAGUUGCUGAAAGUGCCUCCCACCAGACUUGCUGAAUGGCUACUACUUGCAUAUGCUAUCUGGACUGAAGCUUCCCCAACUAGCUGCCAUGGCUCUCGGCAGCUGGGCUUAAUAGGUCACAGGUCAAAGUUCAUUUGGGUCAGGUUCAUAAAAUGUCAAGGACAUGUGUAAAAUUGAUCAACUCGAGGGUACUGAAAGUUUCGUCGCAAUCGGCGUCUUUUUUAUGCGAGUUAUGAGUUAUCCGCGAAAAACCGAGUAGGGGUCCGUUCGACCCCCCCCCCCCAUACGGGCGAGGGUUAGGCCACAUUCGGAAAGUCAAACUACAUCUAGUUAGGCACAUCAGCCUAUCACGGGCGUUUGACUAGUAAAAUAUAGACAUUUGCAGCCUUUUUUGACGUUGAAUAAACUGAUUUAGUUAUAGGUCGUCAAUCGUCAUUAUGUGCCUGCCGCCGCUUUUGUCGUCUUCAUUGUGUGCUUUGUGGUUUUUGAGUUUUGAUCAUAUCAUCCUCCACCAGGCUUGUUUCUGGCGGUGGUUCUGGAGACAGUGGGUCGAUCCAGCUGUAGGACGUCAUCCGGAGGUGGCAGAGUGUGAUGGCCAGCCACGCGGCGCGCGUAUCGACAUUGACCAGAAACUAUCACAUCAUCUCCAGGUCACUGGUCGCGGGCGCUUGAGCUGACGGUGUCUUCUGACGGCUGCACGGUGGCCAGCGUCGCCACCGCCGAGACCAUCCGACUCCUGAAAUGCUAACGGCCGUGCACGAACAAGAGGCUCUAAGCAUCCAGGUGCAAGGCAAGCGCCAUGCUCAGAGGUGUCAUCCGAAGAAGGCCGCACAGUGCACUUUAGGCUGAGCUCGGGUGUAGUGCGCGCCGACGGAUAGGAUGAAAUGACGGGCCGGCCAUCAGAUUUCAGUGCGGGGAUCAAGAUGGUCGGAGCCGACGUGGCUCGGUUGAUGGUGUGCCAGGGUUGAUUGAGAGUGAAAGCGAGACACCCGGAUCUGUAAAGAAUACGCCGAUACGGGUCUCGAACGUCGUCUCGCAAUUUGUGCUCUGUAAUAUGACUGCUAUGCCGUGGUAUCAUUCACUCUCGGUGCGCUAAUAAAUAAUAAAUAGGACAGAGGCUGGAAUUAAGAUAUUAUAUUUGGAUGUAAGGGGCAGGUUUGGGCCAGCGCUAUAUUAGAAAUCGUGAGCGUGCUAGUUGCAAUCAAUCGCGCGCUUCUUGUUGAGCAUCUGUGAGCGAGAAAAUACUUUCUCUGGAACUUAGCAGUUCGUCGUGAAAUAUUUGUAUCUUUGGAGUAAGUUGUCAGAACAUGAAUGCAUUUUUGGUGUCCACUGCAGCUGCUGUUCUGGAACAGAAACAUGCCGAGAUCGGCUGUGUAUGUAUGUUGUGGCAAAAU